GUAUAUUGUAAAAGGAGCUUUGUAGCUUCAGAGAACAAGCUGAGGGUCAUGUUACCAUGGAAACUGUGCAGUCCAUUGGUGACAGAGAGAAUUUAACACUUUUUUUAUGCAAACAACCUGUUUUUUCUUUAGUGUCAGUGGUGGACUUAUGUUGAUGAGAUGUCAGAGAAUGCCGGAUCGAGUUUAUGUUUUUGCUGCUAAACUUGUAGUUUUAGUCAAACGCUUCGAAUAGAGAGCAGAAAUCUGCCCUCAGGCUGUACGCUGUUGACCCCUCUGCUCUGAUGGAACACCUCUUUGAUCCGCCAAUCGAGAGACUACGAGAGCAGAAAGAUUAGCAGAAGAAGCAGGAAAAUGGCAGACAAAGCUCAAACUUGAGGGUCGUCGUCUGUUUCAACUUUUCUUUUAACUCAAGAAAUUCCCACGGGAGAACUACAGAGAACAGUGAUGCGCACAGAAAAAAAGAAAAGGUAAUGCAAACAAGCGUUGCGUAUAAAUGUGGAGUCACUUUAUAGAGGAGCAGCUCAGGCUCUGACUUCAACUUUCUUUUGCCCUUAAUUUUUUUAGGAGGUUUUUAUUGGGAUUUUAUGUAAUAAAAUCUCAUAUUUUGAUGACUCUGAGGAAGAAUUUCACUUAAUACUGGAAAUUAUAUAUUAAAACUUAAAAGAAGAAAGAAAAACAGACAUUAACCCUCAGUAGUCUGAGGCCUUUUUGACGUUUUAUCUUUCUAUUUUACA